GGGGCUAGCGUUGCUCGGAAUCACUGGGCGUAAAGGGGGCGUAGGCGGGUCUUUAAGUCAGGGGUGAAAUCCUGGAGCUCAACUCCAGAACUGCCUUUGAUACUGAAGAUCUUGAGUUCGGGAGAGGUGAGUGGAACUGCGAGUGUAGAGGUGAAAUUCGUAGAUAUUCGCAAGAACACCAGUGGCGAAGGCGGCUCACUGGCCCGAUACUGACGCUGAGGCACGAAAGCGUGGGGAGCAAACAGG
rnacentral:rRNA from 1 species